UUGGGCCUGCGGUGUUCGUGAAGAGACAGUUCUCUUGGCUCAAACAACAUUUACGGGAUUCGGUAUAGCCGAGUUGAAUUGAUCCCGGGAGGUUCGCCUCUCUUUAGGGAACAGAAUGCUCGGCACCUAGUUUCCCCCUUGAACCUUAGGUUCAAGAGAUAACCUCCGAACGGCGCCGCGGGUCCUUU
rfam:Spirochaetes bacterium GWC2_52_13 gwc2_scaffold_506, whole genome shotgun sequence.